rnacentral:rRNA from 1 species
UACGGGGGGGGCAAGCGUUGUUCGGAAUUACUGGGCGUAAAGGGCUCGUAGGCGGCCAACUCAGUCAGACGUGAAAUCCCUCGGCUUAACCGGGGAACUGCGUCUGAUACUGGCUGGCUUGAAUCCGGGAGAGGGAUGUGGAAUUCCAGGUGUAGCGGUGAAAUGCGUAGAGAUGUGGAGGAACACCAGUGGCGAAGGCGACUCUUUGGCCUGUAACUGACGCUGAGGCGCGAAAGCGUGGGGAGCAAACAGG